rnacentral:misc_RNA from 1 species
GUUUUCUAUGUUGUUAUUAAUUUCCAUUCACCUAUCUGAGAUAAUCAGAAAGUGGGGACAAAAUGUUUGUAAAUGUUCCUUUGUACUUUAGGUGCAAUAUCUAGUCUGAUGGUUUAAGAUUUUAUUUGGGAUUCCUUUGCAUCUUCUCGAAAAAGUUUAUCAAAAUGAAGAGGAGCAUCUAUUAAUCUCAGUGAGAAUGAUCUACUGAGUUUAUCUUUUUUUUUUCUAUGUCCUUGGCUAGAGAUUUGCAUUAAAUCUGUGUUUGAGCUGAACUAGAAGUGCUGAGCCUAAAUAGAUAUUUUUUGGUAAAGAAAUUAUCUUUUUAUCAAGUUCAUGAGGGAAUUGAGCUGGUAAUGCUGAGUAAAUAUUCUUUUUUUUUUUUUCCUAUUUAUUCUCCUUCCUUAUCUACCAGUGGAACAGAUUCUGACUAAUGAGUGGAUUUUCUUACCAGUUAUCAAAAACUGUUUUUCCUAUUAAAUAUUUGUGGUUUCCUGCAUCAGUUCACCUCC